GGCGGCCAUGGCAGAUCCGGGAACUUGGGAGACCAUGCCGGAUCAGACAGUUCAGGGGGCCAUGGCAGUUCAGACAGUUCAGGAGGACAUGGUGGAGUAGAGAACUCAGGAGGCCAUGGCGGAUCAGGAGACUCAGGAGGAAAUGGUGGAGUAGAGAACUCAGGAGGCCAUGGCGGAUCAGGGGACACAGGAGGCCAUGGCGGAUCAGGGGACUCAGGAGGUCAUGGCGGAGUAGGGGACUCAGGAGGUCAUGGCGGAUCAGGGGACCCAGGAGGCCAUGGCGGAUCAGGGAACUCAGGAGGCCAUGGCGGAGUAGGGAACUCAGGAGGCCAUGGCGGAGGAGGGAACUCAGGAGGGCAUGGCGGAUCAGGAGACUCAGGAGGUCAUGGCGGAUCAGGGGACUCAGGAUGCCAUGGCGGAUCAGGGGACUCAGGAGGUCAUGGCGAAUCAGGGGACUCAGGAGGUCAUGGCGGAUCAGGGGACCCAGGAGGCCAUGGCGGAGUAGGGGACUCAGGAGGUCAUGGCGGAUCAGGGGACUCAGGAAGCCAUGGCAGAGCAGCCUCCAAGACCGUGGCCCCAGUCCCAGCACCAUCAUCUCUUACAACAGCGGUUCUAUCACAUGUCUAUGAUUGUCACUUUCUGAUUGGUAUUGGAGAAACUGUUAUGGGUCUCUGCAUCAGGAAAGAUGGAGAGCAAAAGCAUUCUUUUGAUUAUUCAUCUUUACUUUGGGUACCUACGGAACUGGGCAUGGCACAGGUGCUCUACAGCGCUCCCUGGAAUGCAGUCAGAAAACUUGCUGCAUAUCUCAUACAUGCAUGUAUAAAUAUGACACUUGGUACACAUAUAGAUCUCAUUGAGCUGGACAACUUUCACACUGCAUCUCAGCAUCUGCCCAACAGGAAGUCAGCUAUGCAAGGUUUUCUGAAAAGCACAUACUCUGAAUUUUUUAAAACUCCUAGAGUUUUCAUCCGACUGCCACCAAACUUGGUUUACAUGAUCUCAAGACUAAAUUGUGAAUGA
ensembl:lncRNA